CACUCCUACGGGAGGCAGCAGUGGGGAAUUUUGGACAAUGGGCGAAAGCCUGAUCCAGCAAUGCCGCGUGAGUGAAGAAGGCCUUCGGGUUGUAAAGCUCUUUUGUCAGGGAAGAAACGGUGAGAGCUAAUAUCUUUUGCCAAUGACGGUACCUGAAGAAUAAGCACCGGCUAACUACGUGCCAGCAGCCGCGGUAAUACGUAGGGUGCAAGCGUUAAUCGGAAUUACUGGGCGUAAAGCGUGCGCAGGCGGUUUUGUAAGUCUGAUGUGAAAUCCCCGGGCUCAACCUGGGAAUUGCAUUGGAGACUGCAAGGCUAGAAUCUGGCAGAGGGGGGUAGAAUUCCACGUGUAGCAGUGAAAUGCGUAGAUAUGUGGAGGAACACCGAUGGCGAAGGCAGCCCCCUGGGUCAAGAUUGACGCUCAUGCACGAAAGCGUGGGGAGCAAACAGGAUUAGAUACCCUUGUAGUCCCA
rnacentral:rRNA from 1 species